GUUGAGCACACUGCCCCCGCCCCACAGUGCCCGGGACCUUGACCCACAGCCCCCGCCUCUGCCCCUGUCUCCCCAGCAGCAACUCUCAAGGGACCCCCUCUUGCCAUCCCGGCCCCUGGAUUCGCUGUCCAGGAGAUCGAACUCAGGGGAGCAGCUGGACCAUGUGCCUAGCCGGCACCCCUCGCGAGAAGGCCUCGGGCCACCCCCACAGCUGCUCAGAGUUAGGGAGGACCCAGCCAGUGGCCCUAGUCAUGGCCCCUCCACAGAGCAGCUGGACAUUCUUUCUUCCAUCCUGGCCUCCUUCAACUCCUCAGCUCUCUCCUCCUCUGUGCAGUCCUCAAGCACGCCCUCGGGCCCUCACACCACGGCCACGCCUUCUGCCACAGCCUCUGCGCUUGGGCCCUCCACACCACGCUCUGCCACGUCCCACAGCAUCUCGGAGCUGUCUCCAGAUUCAGAAGUUCCCAGAAGCGAGGGGCACUCCUGAGGGGCAGACGCCCGGACUAGGAACGGCUGAGGGCCAUGGAGGAUUUGAGCUAAGAGAAGAGACUCCAGGCAUCGGGGGCUGAUCCCAAGGCAGCCUCCCACCCACCCCCCAGCUCUCCUGUGGCUGCGGCGCUGAGGCUCCUCGCUCUGUCUGUGAGCAUGCGAGCAUGUGCGUAACAGGUGCAGGGCGAGGGAACUGAAAGGAGGACUUUUAUAUGUUUUGUACCUUUGUAACCAGAGAGAUAUGCUUAUGUUAUUUUUCAGCUUUUCUGUCUCCCGGGGUUCUGAGGCUGGGCUGGGAGGGGAAGGGGACAGAGGAUAAGAGGUGCCGUGUUUGGCCCCAUUUGGGUCCCUGGCACAUCGUAUGCUCUUUCCUCUCAUCUUACUGGGGUGGAUUCAGAGAGGAGGGGCAACUAGCCCCCCCCCCAUUGAUCUGACUAUUGUUAGGGCCCAAAGUACAGAAUUGAUCUUUGCUCUUUCUCGAAUGCCCCAAGGGCCAAACUUCAGGGACUGGGGGUUGGUCUUGGAAACAGGGGUCCUCUGACCUCCUCACGGGGCUUGCUCGUGCUGCCCCUCCCCGUGGAUGUGUGUGUUUCUUAUGUGGAGUCCCUGCCACUUACUGCCUUAUGACCUAGGACUGAUGCUGCGGGGCGCUGGUAGAGCUGCACGCGUCAUGUUUACAGAGCAAGGCUUUCCUUUCUCCCAUGCGGAGGGGCUCAGGCCUCUAUUCAGACAUUCCUGCAGACGGUGGACUAGGGGGGCAUUUGCCAGCCCAUUGUCUGUGGUGCCAUUUCAGUCCCUGACACUGCCCUGCCCUAGAAUUUCUUCCUCAGGGUAGGGGGAGGCAGGGGGAGCAAGGGGGAGCAGAAAUAAGAGAGUUAAAGACACAGAAUGUAGGUGCCACUGCCUCCCAUGUUUACAGGACCCUCCCUGGCCCUAGGCACCUGGGCUGCGGUAACUAGUCCCACCCUACUUUAUUCCCUUCUAAAGGGAAAAAUGACUGUUUGGACCCUGUUCACAAAACUCUCUUACAUUACUUUGUCUGACACCCAGAACUGGGAACUUUUAGAUUUUGUUACUUUGUUUACAGGUCAAGAUUUAAAACAUUUUAAAAAACUUUGUUUACAACUUAAAACUUUGAACUUUUACACUUUGUUUACAGUUGAAAAUGUGGUUCCCCCCCUCUGUUUACAAGUGAAAGAUUGAGAAGGUGGGAGAGGGGCCUGAGGACCUUGGACCUGGCCAUCUUGAGGGGUUUCUAGCUGCUAGCUCUCCUAGGCCAAAGGUCAGCCCUGAGUCCCCCCUGUUGAACAGCAGACCCAGAAGGCCUCCAGAGCAGGCAUCCUCUUACAGCUGGGAACAACGUGUUGCUUAGGGUGGUAGGGGGUCUGUGCAGACACCCCCCUUCCCCACACAUACUCUUGGGAGGCAGUUUCCAAGGAGAUUAAAAGUUCUACUUUGCUGACUGGUGCCAAAUCCUGCCAGCCAGGACUCCAGCUCUCCUUACCCAGAAUGACCCCAGCCCUUGAAGGGUUGAGGGGCCCGCUGUGGGGAGAGGGGCUGUCCUUGCUAUGUCCUAGGUUCUAUAGAUGCCCUUCUCUGGGGGUCCCCUGCUCCAGCCCAGUGUCCCCUUUCCCUGUCUGUGUAAAUUGUUCCGUGAAGCCGCGCUCUGUUUUGGGAAUAAACUUCUAUAGAAAAUGGUUAUUGCCUCUUUC
ensembl:lncRNA